rnacentral:lncRNA from 1 species
UUUCUUAAAAAAAAUAAAAAUGUAAUCAGAAAACAGAAAACAAGAACGUUACCAAACGGACCCUAAGUUACUCCUAACUUUAAUCAUUUUUAUUUUUUUUAAUAUAUGUAUAAAUUGCCAUAAUUUACUACAUUCACAUGUCAUAUUACACCAUUAUGACUUUACACUACACUCCGUCUUUUAGCUACGUAGAGUAGCUAUUUGGGCUUCGAGUAACUCAUAGUCCACAGAUAGGCAACCCACCAUAAAAUAGAGAUCAACAACAACUAGUCGCAGUCCAUGAUACUGGCAGUGCGAUCGGCAAGGCUUCGUUCCGAGCGAUGAGCAACUAAACGUUGGCUCGAGUCAGACGAAGUGCACGAUAGACAGGUGAGAUAUGAUGGUGGCAGCCUGUGCAUAGGAUUUUUAUGUAAAAGAAACUGUAAUCCUCUUUUCUUUUUGUUUUUUUUUAAUGAAAACACUAAUUGUUUUGCAGAGAUGACGACAGUGGGAGAUGACCGCGGAUGGAGGAAGGCACAACAUGAUAGAUGAAGAUGUUUCACAAGGGUUUGAAAGAGGACACGGCCGCAAAAUUUUCAAUUUUCGUCAUGGUUAUGACAAGUGUGGGUUUGCGAGCGUCUUGUAGAAAGGAAGGAGACAAAGUUGGAAUAAUGGUUUUUUAUUUGGAUUUUUUUUAAUUAUACAAAAAUUAUGUUGUUAAUUAACAACAUAAAAAAUUGUGUCAACAAAUAUAUAUGCAAAUUCGAAAUUAACUUUUUUUUUCUUCAAAAUUUCUUACUUUUUAUUUUUAGUGACACUUUUCUAUUGAUUACAAGUGUCAUUGUAUCACAAAUUUGUAGUAGCGAAUCUCUAAUUUCGUUACUAAUUUAGACAUCAAGACCUUUUUUUUAUGUAAUAAUGCAUGUAAUAAUGCAGAUUAAUUCUAUCGUCUCCUAAUUACAAGUUUACCGUUGAUGUUGUGAGAAAGUAAUAUGUUUUUUUCUUUGACCAAAAUUUAAUAUCAAUAGUUGUCAUCAUGUGAGGGGACAAGAUCGAUCUACCAAAAUAAAAUUGAG